rnacentral:misc_RNA from 1 species
GUAGCACUCGGGUAAGGCAGGGUGGAGCCACCUCCCAGGAUGAAGAACUUGAGCAACAAUCCCCUCUUGGUGAAUGGAACUGCAAAUGUCUGAAUAACUUGCUCUGCAGUAACAUGUACAUACAGAAUUUAGUUCCUUGGCUGUCUAAAAUUAUCUUUAAAUAAUGUUAAAUCUUCAAAUUUGUCCAGUUAUCUAUGCUCACAGUCAAAAUAGAUAACCCUCCUAGCAGUUGGUAAGAUCUGACGACCAUCUCUGUGAAUAGCAUCAGCAUGAA